CCACGAUAUAUGAUUAUCUCAUGUAUUCCGGUAAAAAAAUUUCAAAAACAAGAAAAAUCAUGACUCAAAAAUGCAAAUAUCGGUCAUUUUAGUUAAACACCACACCCGCGUUGCGUUCAGCGUUUUUAGUCUUCUUGUUUACUCAGUCAUACUUUUCACUCGAGUGUGGCUAGUAUAAAAUAGACAUGUGUUCGUCGAACGUGAAGAUUUAUUUCGGUGUCUUUUGAAAAAGAGAAGUGAACGGAAUAUGCUUAGUUUUGAAAAAAAAGUUGAAAGUAUUUUUUCCGCUGGUGAUCAAUGAUGGGCUCGUAAUAAUAGAUCUUUUUCUGCUUUUCGAAAUUUUGUUUGUUGUUCCGUUACGUUUCUCAGUUUACCCCAUUCAACGCGCCCGCACGUGUGUGUUAAAUGGUGUUUCAUGCUUAAGAAUUACAUAUUUCCUUAUUUUUAUGAACACGAAAACUCAAAAAUUUGAAUUUUUGCCCGUUUUCAUGUUUUUAUGCAAUAUUGGCAGAAUAUAUUCCGAAAUUCGUUUUGGCCAACUAAACUUUAGGGGAAACUGCCAUUCUUGCAAUAUUUUUUUACUUUUUGUGCUAUUUAUUUUCUAAACUAUUUUUUGUGACAGACCCGGCUACCAAAUGUAUUUGCUCAUAAUUUUCACUGCCUCUUCCCCUGCAUAAUAUGCAUAUAUGCCGGUCAUAAAAUUACGAACGGACCCAUAUAUGAUCACACAUCACCCACCUACACGUAUAUACGUGUGCAUGCCACGGUGCGUUGGGAAGAAAAAAUAUCCGGUCUGCUCUCAGUCUGUCACGUCUGUCACUUCAUAACAUAACCUUACAUAAGGUUCAGGUUAUGUCCACGAGAUUUUUUAGGUUAAGGAUUAACUAAUAAUAUUUUACUGUAUCAGAGCGAAUAACAGUGAAUAAAAAAGUAGUGGAAUUAAAAAAAUAGAAAUUAGAAUCGAGGGAAUCGAAUAGUCAAAACAUUUGCGACAUGGAAAAAUUUAGUGACAGCUGGAGAACACUCGUCAUUGCGGAUGAGAAAUAUUCUAUUCGUUGUUUGGAACGAGAUAGAUCUUUCAAAAUAUUUCUCACGAACCUUCAUGACAUUUGGAUUGAGUAUCUGGAUGAAAAUAAUAUUAUACAAAAGUGCAAGACAUUGAACCCGAGUUUGAGCAUAGAGGAUAUGGAUAUUGUUCGCUACAUCGGACAGCUCCUCAUGGAUAUAGAAAAACGUGCUGUAAAAAAAUCUGUUGAACACAUCGAAUUUGCUGAAAAUUUAGAUGGUGGUAUUUUUAAAUUCUCUAUUGACUUUGAGAAAGGAAGUUCUCAGCAACUUUGGGAGGAAGUAACAAUGCCGCUUUGUCUUUUGGCUGGUGAACUGCAGAGGAGACAAACAAUACUAUUGGAUCUAGUCAGGAAAAAGGAUGAAGAGAUUACGGAGUACAAACUCAAUGGAGCUAAAUUAACAAGAAGGCAAAAAGUGGUGUGUAAAUAUUCUACCCUGUUGACUGUCCAUCCAAUUACGUCAAGAAACAAAAGAUUUAUUUCUAUGACAAGAAUCUACUCAAAGUAUAUAACAACAGAAAAGUUUGAUCAAGCGGUAUUUCAAAGAAAUGCACCAAAGCUCGAUAUCAAACACAUAUUUGAAUCGUUCGAAAACGUUAUGGCGAUGCAAGCUGAAGUGAAAGAUUCCAUCAAACUCAAACCAGUGUGUCUGACACAAGAAAACAAUGACGUGGCCUUGAUAAAGAAUGAAGUUCUGGAGGAUUCCGAAUCAACAGAACAGCGUGAAAAUUCUUCAACAAUCUUGGAAAAUAUCGAAGAUACGUCAAACGUUAAAAUAAAAAAGAUUAAAAAACCAAUGGAUGACGAUUAUGGGGAAAAUGAAGCGAUGACGCGAAAAAAGUCUCGUAGUGCUCCUACCGAAUCGUUCAAAAAGACGAAAAAUACUAUUCAUGAUUUUAUAAAAUGAGAAUUCAGAAUUUUCAACAGUUUUUUUAAUGUCAAAUCAUUUUGGUACCGACAAAUGUUGUAGAGAAUAUUACUCAGGAGAGAAGCCGAUUUGAUCAUGUCAACAAAAAGUCUAUAUUGAUUCUAACCAAAGAGCAUGGCAAUAAAGGAGUAUUUUAAUUAUUUUAUUUCAAUCAAUAUUGGACAUUGUUUGUCACAAUUGAAAGGAAUUAUAAUACAUCAAAUUAUUCCAGCUAAUUAGUUUCUAAGAACACUAAUUUUUACUUGGAUUGUGAUUUGUUUAAAUAAACAUUUAUUUCAAUGAAAAAAUC
rnacentral:misc_RNA from 1 species